AUGACAACGUGGCCGACGACAUUAGAUGGAACCUCACCGCCAACGGGCUCUACUCCGCGUCCUCGGCUUACAAGGCCUAGUUCGAGGGCUCUAUCAUCUCACCCAUGCCCAAGAUGGUGUGGAAUAGUUGGGCACCGGCUAAGUGCAAAUUCUUCGCCUGGCUCGUCAUCAAGGAUAGGGUCUGGACCGCCGAUCGACUGUAGCGGAGAGGUUGGCCAAACAGCAGGUUAUGCCAGCUUUGCAAGAGAGAGCCAGAGACCGCGGCACCUCCUCUUCAAGUGUAGGUUCUCCACUCGAAUUUGGAAUGCGGUCAAAUGUUGGGUGGACGCGCCGGAGUUGGAUGUAGCGACAUGGGCCGGAAUAACCUCGGUCAGAGAGUGGUGGACUUCGGUGGUUCUCACUCAUGGUUAUAGACAGAAAGCGACGUCUUCUCUUAUCAUGUUUGUUUCGUGGAAGGUCUGGAAAGAGAUAAACGCAGGAGUUUUUCAACACACAUGUAGGUUGCCAACUGUGGUGGUCGGAGGCAUUAAGGCUGAAGCGAAGAACUGGAUCAUCGCCGGGGCUAGGCACUUGGGUUCUUUGAUGCUGCAAAAGUAG
rnacentral:rRNA from 1 species